UCCUGCCUCUCAAACGGACGUAAUCAGUGGAUCUGAGAGCCGGGCGCGCAGUCGGUGAAGAGUUGGUCCCGGACGGUAGUGAUGAGAGUGAAAAUACCCAACUGGGGCAGACUUGAAGAAACCGCAUCAGUCCACCUCGAGAGGACACUGAAUCCAGUUGUUUUCCAAGCUGCGGAUGAAGGGGAUUUUGUGUGUUCAUUGGUGCCUCCUGAUGCUCUGCGAUGAAGAUCAUUUUUCUAUGAGAUGCCGUGAAGACCAAUUUUGACGUGAAGAUGAAAGACUUUCAAGCUCCUCUGAUUAACGGUGGUAAGGCAAUAAAGCAGAACCUCUGAAAAGAAUGAAUGAAAAAAACAAAAAAAAACAGAACCAUGCUUGUCCUGUGGACAGUGGACUCAUUCUGCCACUGUCCUGUGUCGUUAUGUCCCUUUGCUGUGCGACCUGUCCUCCGGGGGUUGGAGUGAAGUCCUCGCCUCUGUCCCUGUCCCCCUUUGCUCUGUCCGUCCUCCCUCCUCUACGCCCUGCCUCGUCUUGUCAGCUCGGGUCACAAACCCCCACCCCCUCUCCCCCACCCCGCUCGCCUCGGUGAACAUUCAACGCUGUCGGUGAGUUUUGGUAUGGAUCACAUGAAAACCAUCGACCGUUGACUGUGCCCCGAGGCCGGCUCCGACGACGUCCAAAAGUCCUUGUAGGCGCGUGCAAAAACCCGAGAGACGAAGACAUGGACAAAAAGUGACACUCUGUUUCCACUGUACCCAAAGACCAAAGGUCACAAUCAACAUUCAUUGCUGUCGCUGGGUUGGACUGUGUAGAAAAGCUCACUGAACAAUGAGUGCAACUGUGGCCCAGAUCUGCCCGACUUCGCGUCUCAGCCAGUCAGCCGACCGGAUGCGAAAACGCUUUGAUUUCUUUCAUUUAUAUUACUUCUUGUUUUUCACUUCUAUUUUCUCCCCUCUUCCUCCCUCCCUGGCGCUGCAUAGUCUUCAGGGGGAAGAGAGAGAGAGAUAGAGACAUAAAUAGACUUCUGGCGGCUUGCUUGUCCUCGUCCUCCUCUCCUCUAAUUGGUGGUUAUGUGUGCAGCAAGGGGGAAGGAAGCGGAGUGAAUGUGUAAUCAUUUGGAGUCUCUUCUCCUUCAUCCCUCUCUCUUUUUUGUUUGUCUAAUUAUACACUAAGCUCUGUUAACUCUGUGUUAACUGUGCUGGCAAGAAUGAGCGAGUGACAAAGAAAGGGAGGACAAUGGGG